CCUCGGGGCGAAGUAGCUGAUUUCACACUGUCAAGAAAAGCUUCUAUCGAGUUUAAAGGCGCCCGUACCGUAAACCGACACAGGUGGUGAGGAGAGUAUCCUAAGGCCAGCGAGAGAACUAUUGUUAAGGAACUCGGCAAAAUGACCCCGUAACUUAGGGAGAAGGGGUGCCUGUCUAUGACAGGCCGCAGAGAAUAGGCCCAAGCGACUGUUUACCAAAAACACAGGUUUCUGCUAAGUCGCAAGACGAUGUAUAGGAGCUGACGCCUGCCCGGUGCUGGAAGGUUAAGGGGAUCUGUUAGAGCAAUCGAAGCAGUGAACUUAAGCCCCAGUAAACGGCGGCCGUAACAAUAACGGUCCUAAGGUAGCGAAAUUCCUUGUCGGGUAAGUUCCGACCCGCACGAAAGGCGUAACGAUUUGGGCACUGUCUCAACAAUAGACUCGGUGAAAUUGUAAUCCCGGUGAAGAUGCCGGGUACCUGCGACAGGACGGAAAGACCCCAUGGAGCUUUACUGUAGCUUGACGUUGGGUCUUGGUACUACAUGUACAGGAUAGGUGGGAGACUAUGAAGCAUGGACGCCAGUCUGUGUGGAGUCAUCCUUGGGAUACCACCCUUGUAGUACUGGGAUCCUAACCAUAGGCCUUGAAUCAGGUCUUGGAACACCGUCAGGUGGGCAGUUUGACUGGGGCGGUCGCCUCCUAAAAAGUAACGGAGGCGCUCAAAGGUUUCCUCAGCACGGUCGGAAAUCGUGCGAAGAGUGUAAAGGCAAAAGGAAGCUUGAUUGCAAGACAUACAGGUCGAGCAAGGACGAAAGUCGGACUUAGUGAUCCGGUGGUACCGCAUGGAAGGGCCAUCGCUCAACGGAUAAAAGCUACCCUGGGGAUAACAGGCUUAUCUCCCCCAAGAGUCCACAUCGACGGGGAGGUUUGGCACCUCGAUGUCGGCUCAUCACAUCCUGGGGCUGUAGUAGGUCCCAAGGGUUGGGCUGUUCGCCCAUUAAAGUGGUACGCGAGCUGGGUUCAGAACGUCGUGAGACAGUUCGGUCCCUAUCCGUCGCAGGCGUAGGAAAUUUGAGAAGACCUGUCCUUAGUACGAGAGGACCGGGAUGGACGUACCUCUGGUGUACCAGUUGUUCUGCCAAGGGCAUGGCUGGGUAGCUAUGUACGGAAUGGAUAAGCGCUGAAAGCAUCUAAGCGCGAAGCCAACUUCAAGAUAAGAUUUCCCACCGUAAGGGUAAGACCCCAGGAAGACUACCUGGUUGAUAGGUCGAAGGUGUAAGUGCAGUAAUGUAUUUAGCUUAUCGAUACUAAUAGGUCGAGGACUUGACCG
rnacentral:rRNA from 1 species